UGAUUGGAGUUGUCUGAGCCUGUAUUUUUGUUCUUUGUCUUUUGUUACACAGAGUGAACAGAUCCUUGGUUUUGCCUUUGCUGACUGCUGAUCUGAUCGUCUCAAGUCUGGUGACCUGCUGCAGAAAACCCUCUCCCUCUAUCAUUAUCAAGCAAUUCUGUCUAUCCUAUCACUCUCCCAACUCUAUCUAAUUUGACAGCCAUUCUAUCUUGUAUCACUCUAUCCCAACUCUAUCUAAUUUGACAGCCAUUCUAUCUUGUAUAAAUCUAUCCCAAGCACUCUAUCUCGUUUUCAGAAAUCUAAGUCUUCAGAAAUCCCAGUUUUCAGAAAUCCCAGUCUUCAGAAAUCCCAGUCUUCAGAAAUCUAAGUCUUGAAAAAUCCAAGUUUUGAAAAAUCCAAGUUUUGAAAA
rnacentral:lncRNA from 1 species